GCAGAGAAUAGGCCGGGGAGCUAAGGGUUCCUUGUAACCGCAAACCCCUUUCAGGCGGGGCCGAAGCCGGAACGAGGUGUGCGCUGUAGCGCAAACCCGCGGGCUUGACGACGAAGUCCUGUCCUGCUGGGUCGUUCGGGCGGCGAACCUGGCGAGGCGCGGAAGCGAGCGGCCAUAAACCGAGCGUGCGACGCUUGCAGGGUAACGGGAUGGAGAAAAGCCUUCGGAUAAUUUGCGCUUAUUGUGCAUAUCGGAUAAAGGCGUUUCUCUGC
rnacentral:SRP_RNA from 1 species